rnacentral:lncRNA from 1 species
CAGAUGAAUCUAAUUUGUCAUAAGAAACGUCCUAACAAGUCCCAUGUACCUCAAGCACCUAAGAUCUCGAGUGACGAGCACAGAAAUGCCUCCGCUGCUUCAGACUUCACUAUCUAAUAGCUCGCCCACUAAUAGAUUUGUACUUCUUUCAUUGCAACAUUCAUUGCAAGCCAAUAGAUCAGCACCUCCCUUGUCUCAGACAUGUCAAUCGCCUAACACUUCUCUACCUCUGGCUCGCAAAAUUGG